CCGUCGCCCUGCUUCUCCAGCAGCUGCUCCAUGUUAGUCGUCCCCGGAGCCGCCGGGUCUAGCUGGGCGCUGCCGCAGGGUGCAGACGCGGUCUGGUCGAAGAGUGCAGGGAGGCUGCUGAUGGGGGACCUGGGUCCGGGGGCGAAGUUUCAGAGAUUUGAGGUGGACAGCAGCCCGGACUGAACUGUAACCUGACGCGCUACCUUGCUGCGUGACCUCCUAUCUGAAGUGACUGUUAUUAAGACCGAAAUAAGGGACUAAGGGCAGGCACUGGCCAGAGGGAGGGGUUGACACCACAGUGCUCAGGUCUGGUGGAGGACAACAGGGUCCCAGUUCCUACCUGCGUGG